rnacentral:rRNA from 2 species
GAGUUUGAUCCUGGCUCAGAGUGAACGCUGGCGGUAGGCCUAACACAUGCAAGUCGAACGGCAGCACAGAGGAGCUUGCUCCUUGGGUGGCGAGUGGCGGACGGGUGAGGAAUACAUCGGAAUCUACUUUUUCGUGGGGGAUAACGUAGGGAAACUUACGCUAAUACCGCAUACGACCUACGGGUGAAAGCAGGGGACCUUCGGGCCUUGCGCGAUUGAAUGAGCCGAUGUCGGAUUAGCUAGUUGGCGGGGUAAAGGCCCACCAAGGCGACGAUCCGUAGCUGGUCUGAGAGGAUGAUCAGCCACACUGGAACUGAGACACGGUCCAGACUCCUACGGGAGGCAGCAGUGCGGAAUAUUGGACAAUGGGCGCAAGCCUGAUCCAGCCAUACCGCGUGGGUGAAGAAGGCCUUCGGGUUGUAAAGCCCUUUUGUUGGGAAAGAAAUCCAGCCGGCUAAUACCUGGUUGGGAUGACGGUACUCAAAGAAUA